CACCCGCCCCGCCACACACCCGGCCGGAAUUCGUGCGGCUGCUCCCAGACGGUCUCGUCCAGGUCCUUGCCCACUGUCCCGCCCACAAAACAGUACAUUCCUGGAAUGGCAUCGAAUCUUUUGGCCUUGGAAAAUCCAAUAUCAAAGAGCAGGCCUUUUCCCAUUCAUCUAUCAAGAAGAAAGGAAAGGAAACACAACCCUGACCUUCUUCAACAGCCAGAAUCAGCUUUCUGUCAACCGUUCAGGAAAACACGUCCAUGAGCCCUCUCCCACCCCCACCCCACCCCACCCCACCCCCACCACCACCUUGGACCAGCUUCCUGCCACGGGCUUUGUCUCAGAGAAAAGAAUGACAACCCACGCCUAAUAUGCGCUCCCAGAUGGCCUUUGAAGCAGGAAAUGAGAUGAGAAUGAUGUGUGUGUUUUUCUUUUAACUUACAGAUAGGGGAACCACAUGUCCCGGUUUGCAUGUGUUAUCCCAGUUUAUACCUAUAGUCCAAGUGUCAUCAGUAAUAAUGCCUCUUUUUAUUCUCAAAACUUGAAGAAUUAAAUGUUUCCCCAGUUUGGAGCUCUUA